GAUGAACGCUGGCGGCGUGCCUAAUACAUGCAAGUCGAGCGAACAGACGAGGAGCUUGCUCCUCUGACGUUAGCGGCGGACGGGUGAGUAACACGUGGAUAACCUACCUAUAAGACUGGGAUAACUUCGGGAAACCGGAGCUAAUACCGGAUAAUAUAUUGAACCGCAUGGUUCAAUAGUGAAAGACGGUUUUGCUGUCACUUAUAGAUGGAUCCGCGCCGCAUUAGCUAGUUGGUAAGGUAACGGCUUACCAAGGCAACGAUGCGUAGCCGACCUGAGAGGGUGGUCGGCCACACUGGAACUGAGACACGGUCCAGACUCCUACGGGAGGCAGCAGUAGGGAAUCUUCCGCAAUGGGCGAAAGCCUGACGGAGCAACGCCGCGUGAGUGAUGAAGGUCUUCGGGUCGUAAAACUCUGUUAUUAGGGAAGAACAAAUGUGUAAGUAACUAUGCACGUCUUGACGGUACCUAAUCAGAAAGCCACGGCUAACUACGUG
rnacentral:rRNA from 1 species